rnacentral:rRNA from 1 species
GGGUUGUGAGGUUAAGCGACUAAGCGUACACGGUGGAUGCCCUGGCAGUCAGAGGCGAUGAAGGACGUGCUAAUCUGCGAAAAGCGCCGGCGAGGUGAUAUGAACCUUUGACCCGGCGAUGUCCGAAUGGGGAAACCCAGUGUGUUCCGACACACUAUCGUUAACUGAAUACAUAGGUUAACGAGGCGAACCGGGGGAACUGAAACAUCUAAGUACCCCGAGGAAAAGAAAUCAACCGAGAUUCCCCAGUAGCGGCGAGCGAACGGGGAGCAGCCCAGAGUCUGAAUCAGCUUGUGUGUUAGUGGAACGGUCUGGAAAGUCCGACGGUACAGGGUGAUAGUCCCGUACACGAAAACACACAGGUUGUGAACUCGAAGAGUAGGGCGGGACACGUGGUAUCCUGUCUGAAUAUGGGGGGACCAUCCUCCAAGGCUAAAUACUCCUGACUGACCGAUAGUGAACCAGUACCGUGAGGGAAAGGCGAAAAGAACCCCGGCGAGGGGAGUGAAAAAGAACCUGAAACCGUGUACGUACAAGCAGUGGGAGCACCUUCGGGUGUGACUGCGUACCUUUUGUAUAAUGGGUCAGCGACUUAUAUUCUGUAGCAAGGUUAACCGUAUAGGGGAGCCGAAGGGAAACCGAGUCUUAACUGGGCGUUAAGUUGCAGGGUAUAGACCCGAAACCCGGUGAUCUAGCCAUGGGCAGGUUGAAGGUUGGGUAACACUAACUGGAGGACCGAACCGACUAAUGUUGAAAAAUUAGCGGAUGACUUGUGGCUGGGGGUGAAAGGCCAAUCAAACCGGGAGAUAGCUGGUUCUCCCCGAAAGCUAUUUAGGUAGCGCCUCGUGAACUCAUCUUCGGGGGUAGAGCACUGUUUCGGCUAGGGGGCCAUCCCGGCUUACCAACCCGAUGCAAACUACGAAUACCGAAGAAUGUUAUCACGGGAGACACACGGCGGGUGCUAACGUCCGUCGUGAAGAGGGAAACAACCCAGACCGCCAGCUAAGGUCCCAAAGUCAUGGUUAAGUGGGAAACGAUGUGGGAAGGCACAGACAGCCAGGAUGUUGGCUUAGAAGCAGCCAUCAUUUAAAGAAAGCGUAAUAGCUCACUGGUCGAGUCGGCCUGCGCGGAAGAUGUAACGGGGCUAAACCAUGCACCGAAGCUGCGGCAGCGACGCUUAUGCGUUGUUGGGUAGGGGAGCGUUCUGUAAGCCGUUGAAGGUGGCCUGUGAGGGUUGCUGGAGGUAUCAGAAGUGCGAAUGCUGACAUAAGUAACGAUAAAGCGGGUGAAAAGCCCGCUCGCCGGAAGACCAAGGGUUCCUGUCCAACGUUAAUCGGGGCAGGGUGAGUCGACCCCUAAGGCGAGGCCGAAAGGCGUAGUCGAUGGGAAACAGGUUAAUAUUCCUGUACUUGGUGUUACUGCGAAGGGGGGACGGAGAAGGCUAUGUUAGCCGGGCGACGGUUGUCCCGGUUUAAGCAUGUAGGCGGAGGUUCCAGGUAAAUCCGGUACCUUUUUAACGCUGAGGUGUGAUGACGAGGCACUACGGUGCUGAAGUAACAAAUGCCCUGCUUCCAGGAAAAGCCUCUAAGCAUCAGGUAACAUCAAAUCGUACCCCAAACCGACACAGGUGGUCAGGUAGAGAAUACCAAGGCGCUUGAGAGAACUCGGGUGAAGGAACUAGGCAAAAUGGUGCCGUAACUUCGGGAGAAGGCACGCUGAUAUGUAGGUGAAGCCCCUGCGGGUGGAGCUGAAAUCAGUCGAAGAUACCAGCUGGCUGCAACUGUUUAUUAAAAACACAGCACUGUGCAAACACGAAAGUGGACGUAUACGGUGUGACGCCUGCCCGGUGCCGGAAGGUUAAUUGAUGGGGUUAGCGGUAACGCGAAGCUCUUGAUCGAAGCCCCGGUAAACGGCGGCCGUAACUAUAACGGUCCUAAGGUAGCGAAAUUCCUUGUCGGGUAAGUUCCGACCUGCACGAAUGGCGUAAUGAUGGCCAGGCUGUCUCCACCCGAGACUCAGUGAAAUUGAACUCGCUGUGAAGAUGCAGUGUACCCGCGGCAAGACGGAAAGACCCCGUGAACCUUUACUAUAGCUUGACACUGAACACUGGUCCUUGAUGUGUAGGAUAGGUGGGAGGCUUUGAAGUGUGGACGCCAGUCUGCAUGGAGCCGUCCUUGAAAUACCACCCUUUAAUGGCUGGUGUUCUAACGUAGACCCGUGAUCCGGGUUGCGGACAGUGUCUGGUGGGUAGUUUGACUGGGGCGGUCUCCUCCCAAAGAGUAACGGAGGAGCACGAAGGUUAGCUAAUCCUGGUCGGACAUCAGGAGGUUAGUGCAAUGGCAUAAGCUAGCUUGACUGCGAGAGUGACGGCUCGAGCAGGUGCGAAAGCAGGUCAUAGUGAUCCGGUGGUUCUGAAUGGAAGGGCCAUCGCUCAACGGAUAAAAGGUACUCCGGGGAUAACAGGCUGAUACCGCCCAAGAGUUCAUAUCGACGGCGGUGUUUGGCACCUCGAUGUCGGCUCAUCACAUCCUGGGGCUGAAGUAGGUCCCAAGGGUAUGGCUGUUCGCCAUUUAAAGUGGUACGCGAGCUGGGUUUAGAACGUCGUGAGACAGUUCGGUCCCUAUCUGCCGUGGGCGCUGGAGAAUUGAGGGGGCUGCUCCUAGUACGAGAGGACCGGAGUGGACGCAUCACUGGUGUUCGGGUUGUCAUGCCAAUGGCACUGCCCGGUAGCUAAAUGCGGAAGAGAUAAGUGCUGAAAGCAUCUAAGCACGAAACUUGCCCCGAGAUGAGUUCUCCCUGAGACUUUAAGUCUCCUGAAGGAACGUUGAAGACGACGACGUUGAUAGGUCGGGUGUGUAAGCGCAGCGAUGCGUUGAGCUAACCGAUACUAAUGAACCGUGAGGCUUAACCUUACAACGCCGAAG